rnacentral:rRNA from 1 species
CUUUAUGUGAGUAAGAUCCCUGGAAGAUGACCAGGUAGAUAGGUCAGAGGUGGAAGCAUGGCGACAUGUGGAGCUGACUGAUACUAAUCGAUCGAGGACUUAACCACAA